GUUACCUAUGGGGCUGCCACCCCCCCCAGAUGUCACCUCACCCCCCCGGGUGGUACCUAUAGGGCUGUCACCCCCCAGAUGUCACCUCACCCCCCCCAGGUGGCACCUAUGGGGCUGUCCCCCCCCCAGAUGUCGCCUCACCCCCCCAGAUGUCACCUAUAGGGCUGUCCCCCCCCCAGAGUCACCUCACCCCCCCAGAUGUCACCUAUAGGGCUGUCACCCCCCCAGAGGUCACCUAUGGGGCUGUCACCCCCCCCCAGUGUCACCUAUGGGGUUGUCCCCCCCCAGAUGUCACCUCACCCCCCCCAGGUGGCACCUAUGGGGCUGUCAGCCCCCCAAUGUCACCUAUAGGGCUGUCACCCCCCCCAAAGGUCACUUAUGGGGUUCUCACCCCCUCAAGUGUCACCUAUGGGGCUGUCAGCCCCCAGAUGUCACCUCACCCCCCCCAGAUGGCACCUAUGGGGCUGCCACCCCCCCCAGAGAUCACUUAUGGGGCUGUCACCCUCCCCCAGAGGUCACUUAUGGGGCUGUCACCCCCCCCAAAUGUCACCUCACCCCCCCCAGGUGGCACCUAUAGGGCUGUCAGCCCCCCCAGAGGUCUCCUAUGGGGUUGUCACCCCCUAAGUGUCACCUAUAGGGCUGUCUCCCCCCCCCCAAGUGUCACCUAUGGGGAUGUCCCCCCCAGAUGUCACCUCACCCCCCCAGGUGGCACCUAUAGGGCUGUCACCGCCCCCCAGAUGUCACUUAUGGGGUUUGUCACCCCCCAAGUGGCAUCUAUGGGGAUGUCACCCCCCCAAGUGUCCCCUAUGGGGCUGUCACCCCCCUGAUGUCACCUCAGCCCCCUCAGACGUCACCUAUAGGGCUGUUACCCCCCCAGGUGUCCCCUAUGGGGCACUGUCACCCCCCAGGUGUCCCCUAUGGGGUUUGUCCCUCCCUCCCCCCCCCCCCCCGCCUGUCGCGACACGCCCCGCCCCUC
ensembl:lncRNA